AAGUCGUAACAAGGUCUCCGUAGGUGAACCUGCGGAGGGAUCAUUACCGAGAGAGGGCGCCCCGCGCGCCCGACCUCCCAACCCUCUGUCGACCGUACCGCGUUGCCUCGGGGCCGCCCUCGCGGGCGCCCCAGAGGACACCAAUCGAAACUCUGCAUCUCAUGCGUCGGAGUCAUUAUGUGAAUCAAUCAAAACUUUCAACAACGGAUCUCUUGGUUCUGGCAUCGAUGAAGAACGCAGCGAAAUGCGAUAAGUAAUGUGAAUUGCAGAAUUCAGUGAAUCAUCGAAUCUUUGAACGCACAUUGCGCCCCCUGGCAUUCCGGGGGGCAUGCCCGUUCGAGCGUUCAUCUACACCAAUCAAGCCUGGCUUGGUAUUGGGCACCGGGGCGACCCGGGCCUCAAAGUCGCCGGCUGGUAAGCUCUGAUCUCAGCGUCGUGAUCAAUCAAAUUCGCUUUGCAGAGGAGUGAGCCGUGCCGGUUAAGAAUUAUCUAAAGGUUGACCUCGGAUCGGGUAGGAAUACCCGCUGAACUUAA
rnacentral:rRNA from 1 species